AAAUGAUUAUUUUAACGUGAAAUUUAAAUGAUGCCUGGCAAACAAUGUCCUAAGUUUGAUUUCUUUUUCCCUCCCAAAAAGUUUUUUUGAACUUUUAUGAUUCAUGUUGUUGAUUUCAAGCUUGAUGGACUUUUUUAGAGAUGAGAUUGCUGGCGGUUAAACACAGGGCCUCAAACAAGCUAAGUAAGUGAGCUCUGGUUACCCCAGCCCCCGACAGUCUUUUGUUUUGUUACUACAAUUAGAAAUGAGAGCCAGACAAGGUGAUAUAUGCCUGUAAUCCCAGCACUCAGGAGGCUGAUAAGGGAGGACUGCUGGAGUUUGAAGCCAGCCUGGGCUAUCAUGUGAGUUCAUGGCCAGCCAGAACUGUAUAAUGAAACCUUAUCUCAAAAAAAAGAGAGAAAGAUACAGAAUUUAUCUGUUUAUCUGUUAAGAUUAUAUCCUAGCGGGCUGGAAGUUUAGCUCAGCAGCAUAAACGCCUGCCUUGUAAGCAGGCAGUCGUGAGUUCGAUCCCCAGCACCAAUAAAAAGGAAAAAGACAAAAAAAAAAUUAUAUCCUAAAUGCUCUCAGCUCACACUAGUCUAGGUGGUCUUCAGUGAGCUGCUACAGGACUAUAAUGGAAUCUGUAUCCUUUAUACCAUUGUACAGAUAAAUAAAUUAACUAUUCACCACUUGUUGUUCACCAUGAAUGUUUCAUGAAAUCUAGUCCUGCUUCAAAACCCGAAAAUAACAACCUUCUAAACAGGGCCUAACCAGACCCUGAAAGAGUUCACAUAUGCACUAUUUCCACAGUCCUGCCUUCCUCAACACAUAGGCAUACUCAUGGGCCAUCCCCUAAAAGAAAUCCCAGGGUCUGCGUGACCCUCUUUUAAUAAUAUACCCAGGAUUAUUAUUAUUUUUUUAUUUAAGGAGAAAAAGAAAAAAAAAAACAGAAAAAGGAUACAAGUGAUACAGAAUUUCAAAAAAAAAAAUAAACAGUAGGAAGUCACUAGUUAAUAGAUUACAUACUGUCAUCUUAGAAAUGGUUGUUCAGAUUACAAAAUUAAAGCAUAUAAAGUAGACAUUCAAACUGUGAGACUACAAACAAUUCUGUUCAAUGAUCCCACAAAAACUUAGCAAUAUGGUUAUCUAUCUUAUACACUUAAAUAUACAUGCAAUUAUAUCCUUUAGAGCACUUUCUUUUCCUCUCUUUUUUACUAUGACAAUUAUACAUUUUGGGUUUUAUUACUCCCACAGUUCUUAUUACUUUCUAUUUGAAGAGAAUAAAAUCCAAUGUGACAUAACAAAACAGAGUCAGUCAAAUCAAAAGAAUGGAUAUAGUACAUAAUAUAAAAACGGAAGACAAAGUGAUGAUGAUCAUUGGUUACCAUAAUGCCUCUUGCUAUCUUAAAAAGAAUUGCCUAUAUCAUCAGUUAUAAUAAAACUGAAAACAUUAAAGAACAAAACCAAUAAAAGCAAAACAUUGGAGACAUUGCAGGACUUCAAAAAAAGAUAAUAUGCAAACCCAAAACCCAGGAUUAUUUUAUGAAGCCACAUGGAAGGAGGGUUUUAGGCUGCAUGCAAAUGCUUCUGCUCAUAACAUUUGGUCCACACAGUGAGAAACAGAAGCCACACACAUGCAUAUUUGGGUCUUCGCUCAUGCUGUCCUUGUCUUGUUUCUUGCUAGAGGUAAAAGUAUUGACAGUUUCCCUGAGGCUUCGGCCCCCACUAGUGUUCCUUUGAGUGACAUCAGUAACUGAAGAUAUGUGUCACAGGCUCUUCAGUAAUGAGAGUAACUUUGUUAACCUGAAGUGAUAAAGUGCAGUGAACAGGCUUCGUUUAGGACUUCACUGUCCCUCAGUAACUAUCCUCAGAGGUACCUGAGGUUGUACGGAGAACAGAAUCUUAAAGGGGGGGUGAUGCUGUCCCUGGGCUUCCCGGGGCUUCCAUGAAGGAAGGCUAUAGGUCAACCUGCCCUGCUCUCUCUCUGCUAUGUGGUCCAUUUCCCCCAGACAAACAGGCCUUCAGGUUGGCAUUCAAUUAAAAUGAGACUUCUCAGGACAGGUAGAAAGUUUAGCUAAUAGGUUUUGAGUCAGUUUAUGUUAUUUAAAGCCUAUGUGAUGUGUUUUCUUAUAAUGUACUGUUAGCUGAUGUUGUUUUUUCACUCCUCAGUUGCUAGCUUGCAGAGAAGAAGAACGAGAUGACAAGACAACGAUAAAAUGUGAAACUUCCCCUCUCUCCUCUCCGAAGUCCCUUCAGCUAGACAGGCUGCACACAGGGGCGUUGCAAAUAGUCAGCCACGAGGACAUCAGGGACAUGCAAAAAUCAAAAAGUGCCCAGGAUGGUCCUGUGAGCAAUCCCAGUAGCAGUGACAGCAGGCAGGACUCGCCCCACAAAGCCCCAAAGAAGAAGGGCAUCAAGUCCUCCAUUGGUCGUUUGUUUGGCAAAAAGGAAAAGGGUCGGCCUGGACAAACUGGCAAAGAAUCACCAGGACAAGAAACCUCAUCUCAGGAUGCGUUCCGACUUAGCAAAUUGGGAGGAAAGGCUGAAAAAAAUCGAAAAUUUCAAAAAAACUCAACAGGCUCCCAGGAAGGUCCUGUGAACAAUCCCAGUACCAGUGACAGCAGGCAGGACGCGCUCCACAAAGCCCCAAAGAAGAAGAGCAUCAAGUCCUCCACUGGUCGUUUGUUUGGCAAAAAGAAAAAGGGUCCACCUGGAGAAACUGGCAAAGAAUCACCAAGACAAGGUGGGCCGGUUUUAGGCAGCUGUCCUAACUGCUGGGAUUGGGAGAGCAUGAGCUUUUUCCUAUGUACCUGCCACAGGUGUCCAGUGCCCACAAGGAAUCAUGGCUGAGCAUUCUCCAGACAGCCCAGUCGGCCCACAUGUGAACCAGAGCAGAGCAGUGGACAUUCAUUUGGCGUGAAUGAAUAACCCUCUUAUAUGCUAAUUUAUACGCUUGAACAUUUAUAUGUGUUUGCUCGGAAGCUUACACUUCAGAAAUGAUUCAGCUCUCUACCUGCAGAAUCUUCUUCCUAUUUGUGAAACAUAUAACUUUGCCAUGUUAAUUUACUCUAAAUUUGGUGAAUUUUCUUCUUUUUUGUAGCUGUUGUUUCUGAAACAGAAAACUCAUCUCAGGAUGCCUUCCAACUUAGCAAAUUGGGAGGAAAGGAUGAAAAAAAUCAUCAACUUCAAAAACACUCAACAGGCUCCCAGGAAGGUCCUGUGAACAAUCCCAGUACCAGUGACAGCAGGCAGGACGCGCUCCACAAAGCCCCAAAGAAGAAGAGCAUCAAGUCCUCCACUGGUCGUUUGUUUGGCAAAAAGAAAAAGGUUCUGCCUGGACAAACUGGCAAAGAAUCACCAAGACAAGGUGGGCCGGUUUUAGGCAGCUGUCCUAACUGCUGGGAUUGGGAGAGCCUGAGAUUUUUCCUAUGUGCCUGCUGCAAGUGUCCAGUGCCCACGAGGAGUCAUGGCUGAGCGUUCUUCUGACAGCCCAGUUUGCCCACAUGUGAAACAAAGCAGAGCAGUGGAAAUUCAUUUGGCUUGAAUGAAUAACCCUCUUAUGUGCUAAUUUAUACUCUUGAACAUUUAUAUGUGUUUGCUCGGAAGCUUACCCUUCAGAAAUUAUUCAGCUCUCUACCUGCAGAAUCUUCUUCCUAUUUGUGAAACAUAUAACUUUGCCAUGUUAAUUUACUCUAAAUUUGGGGGCUUUUCUUCUUUUUUGUAGCUGUUGUUUCUGAAACACCAAACUCAUCUCAGGAUGCCUUCAAACUUAGCAAACUGGGAGGAAAGGAUGAAAAAAAUCAUCAACUUCAAAAACACUCAACAGGCUCCCAGGAUGGUCCUGUGAGUGUUCCCAGCAGCAGUGACAGCAGGGAGAACCCACUCCACAAAGCUCUAAAGAAGAAGAGCAUCAAGUCCUCCACUGGUCGUUUGUUUGGCAAAAAGGAAAAGGGUCCGCCUGGACAAACUGGCAAAGAAUCACCAAGACAAGGUGGGCCGGUUUUAGGCAGCUGUCCUAACUGCUGGGAUUGGGAGAGCAUGCGCUUUUUCCUAUGUACCUGCCACAGGUGUCCAGUGCCCACAAGGAAUCAUGGCUGAGCAUUCUCCAGACAGCCCAGUCUGCCCACAUGUGAACCAGAGCAGAGCAGUGGACAUUCAUUUGGCGUGAAUGAAUAACCCUCUUAUAUGCUAAUUUAUACGCUUGAACAUUUAUAUGUGUUUGCCCGGAAGCUUACCCUUCAGAAAUUAUUCAGCUCUCUACCUGCAGAAUCUUCUUCCUAUUUGUGAAACAUAUAACUUUGCCAUGUUAAUUUACUCUAAAUUUGGGGAAUUUUCUUCUUUUUUGUAGCUGUUGUUUCUGAAGCCGAAAACUCAUCUCAGGCUGCCUUCCAACUUAGCAAAUUGGGAGGAAAGGAUGAAAAAAAUCGUCAAUUUCAAAAACACUCAACAGGCUCCCAGGAAGGUCCUGUGAACAAUCCCAGUACCAGUGACAGCAGGCAGGACGCGCUCCACAAAGCCCCAAAGAAGAAGAGCAUCAAGUCCUCCACUGGUCGUUUGUUUGGCAAAAAGAAAAAGGGUCCACCUGGAGAAACUGGCAAAGAAUCACCAAGACAAGGUGGGCCGGUUUUAGGCAGCUGUCCUAACUGCUGGGAUUGGGAGAGCAUGAGCUUUUUCCUAUGUACCUGCCACAGGUGUCCAGUGCCCACAAGGAAUCAUGGCUGAGCAUUCUCCAGACAGCCCAGUCUGCCCACAUGUGAACCAGAGCAGAGCAGUGGACAUUCAUUUGGCGUGAAUGAAUAACCCUCUUAUAUGCUAAUUUAUAUGCUUGAACAUUUAUAUGUGUUUGCUCGGAAGCUUACACUUCAGAAAUGAUUCAGCUCUCUACCUGCAGAAUCUUCUUCCUAUUUGUGAAACAUAUAACUUUGCCAUGUUAAUUUACUCUAAAUUUGGUGAAUUUUCUUCUUUUUUGUAGCUGUUGUUUCUGAAACAGAAAACUCAUCUCAGGAUGCCUUCCAACUUAGCAAAUUGGGAGGAAAGGAUGAAAAAAAUCAUCAACUUCA